UACGUAGGGUGCGAGCGUUGUCCGGAAUUAUUGGGCGUAAAGGGCGAGUAGGCGGUUUGUUAAGUCGGUUGUGAAAGCCCGGGGCUCAACCCCGGAGGGUCGACCGAUACUGGCAGGCUAGAGUACAGAAGAGGUAGCUGGAAUUCCCGGUGUAGCGGUGAAAUGCGUGAGAUAGUCGGGAGGAACACCUGAGGCGAAGGCGGGCUACUGGGCUGAUGCUGACGCUGGAAUCGCGAAAGCUAGGGGAGCAAACGGG
rnacentral:rRNA from 1 species